ACUUAAAUUGAAGAGUUUGAUCAUGGCUCAGAUUGAACGCUGGCGGCAGGCCUAACACAUGCAAGUCGAGCGGUAGCACAGAGAGCUUGCUCUCGGGUGACGAGCGGCGGACGGGUGAGUAAUGUCUGGGAAACUGCCUGAUGGAGGGGGAUAACUACUGGAAACGGUAGCUAAUACCGCAUAAUGUCGCAAGACCAAAGUGGGGGACCUUCGGGCCUCAUGCCA
rnacentral:rRNA from 1 species